UGGAGCCACCCAUGAGGGCACAGCCAAGUGAGAGGACUCAGAAGACAGUGGCCUCACUUCCAGAAUCUGGCCAGGCAAAAGUGCCAGCAGUAUAAUGUUUGUUUCACAGUCAAACAUAAUUCAGAAAAGUCAAAAGAAGAAGGAAAGUCUAUCUUAUUUAUCUAUAUAUUCGCUGUUUCCAUGCUAUUUUUUUUAAAUUCCUGAUGUUCCAAGAUUCUAUCUUUUGUCACUUCCUAUGUUUAGAAAAUUUCUUUUAGCCAUUCUUUUAGGGUAGGUCUGCUGGUGACAAAUUCUCCUGGUAUUCCUUCAUCUAAGAAUGUCUUGAUUUCUCCUUUAUUCCUGAAGGAUUUUUUUUAUUUGCUGGACCUACAAUUCUAGGUUGGCAGUUUUCGCAUCUGAAAAAUGUUUUGCCACUUCUUUCUGGUCUCCAUGGUAUCUGAUGAUAAAGAAGUUGUCAUUUGAAUUCCCUCCCACCCCCCCAACUGGCAAUGUGUUGCUUCUCUUUGGCUGCUUUCAAGACUGUCUUAGCUUUCAGAAGGUUGACCAUGUGUGUCUUCUCGUGGAUUUCUUUGGAUUGAUCCUAUUUGGGGUUUUCUCAACUUCUUAAAUCUGUAGACUUUUUUUUUUUUUUCCCAAAGUUGAAACAUUUUCAAAUCCUUUUUCAGCACAACCUUCUUUAUCCUUUCCUUUCCGUUUCUU
rnacentral:lncRNA from 1 species